AAUUCGUGGUGAGUACAGGAUCCCAUCAAUUCCUUAUAUCACUCACAUGCUUCAAAAUGUGAUUCACCGCCCAUCUGCCUGAAGCGUGUAAUCUGGUUCAUUAGCU